rnacentral:rRNA from 1 species
UACGGAGGGUGCAAGCGUUAUCCGGAUUCAUGUUGGUAAAGGGUGCGUAGGUGGGCCUGUAAGUCAGCGGUGAAAUCUCCGGGCUUAACCCGGAAACUGCCAUUGAUACUAUAGGUCUUGAAUUAUCUGGAGGUAAGCGGAAUAUGUCAUGUAGCGGUGAAAUGCUUAGAUAUGACAUAGAACACCAAUUGCGAAGGCAGCUUACUACGGAUCGAUUGACACUGAGGCACGAAAGCGUGGGGGAUCAAACAGG